rnacentral:misc_RNA from 1 species
GAUGAAGAACGUAGUGAAAUGCGAUAAGUAAUGUGAAUUGCAGAAUUCAGUGAAUCAUCGAAUCUUUGAACGCACAUUGCGCCCGUCAGUAUUCUGGCGGGCAUGCCUGUUCGAGCGUCAUUACGCCCCUCAAGUCCCCUGUGGACUUGGUGUUGGGGAUCGGCGAGGCUGGUUUUCCAGCACAGCCGUCCCUGAAAUUAAUUGGCGGUCUCGCCGUGGCCCUCCUCUGCGCAGUAGUAAAACUCACGCAACAGGAGCCCGGCGCGGUCCACUGCCGUAAAACCCCCCAACUUUUUAUAGUUGACCUCGAAUCAGGUAGGACUACCCGCUGAACUUAAGCAUAUCAAUAAGCGGAGGA